rnacentral:rRNA from 1 species
UGGCGGCGUGGAUAAGACAUGCAAGUCGAACGCGAUUUUUCCGGUUAGCAAUAACUGGAAAAAUUGAGUGGCGAAUGGGUGCGUAACACGUGGGAAUUUAUCCGGAAGUGGGGGAUAGCUUGCCGAAAGGCAAAUUAAUACCGCAUAUGCCCGUAAGGGCAAAGUGGGGGACCGCAAGGCCUCACGCUAUCGGAGGAGCCCGCGCCCUAUCAGCUAGUUGGUGAGGUAAUGGCUCACCAAGGCUUAGACGGGUAGCUGGUCUGAGAGGACGACCAGCCACACUGGAACUGAGACACGGUCCAGACACCUACGGGUGGCAGCAGUCGAGGAUUUUUCUCAAUGGGGGCAACCCUGAAGGAGCGACGCCGCGUGGAGGAUGAAGGGCUUCGGCUCGUAAACUCCUGUCACCGACGAACAAGGCAUCCGAAUUAAUAAAUCGGAUGCUUGAUGGUAGUCGGAGAGGAAGGGGCGGCUAACUCUGUGCCAGCAGCCGCGGUGAUACAGAGGCCCCAAGCGUUGUUCGGAUUUACUGGGCGUAAAGGGUGUGUAGGGGGUCGUGUAAGUUUGACGUGAAAUCCCGUUGCUCAACAACGGAACUGCGUCGAGUACUGCUCGGCUGGAGGUUCGGAGAUGAGGGCGGAAUUCUCGGUGUANCGGUGANNUGCGUANAUAUCGAGAGGAACGCCGAUGGCGAAAGCANNCCUCAAGACNAAAUCUGA